rnacentral:rRNA from 1 species
UACCCGCAGCUCAAGUGGUGGUCAUUAUUAUUGGGCCUAAAGCGUCCGUAGCUGGCCUGUUAGAUGCCUGGGUAAAUCGAUGCGCUCAACGUAUCGAACUCCGGGUAGACCGGCAGGCUCGAGACCGGGAGAGGGUGUAGGCUACUCGCGGGGUUAGGGGUAAAAUCCUGUAAUCCUGCGGGAGGACCAGUGGCGAAGGCGUACACUAGAACGGCUCUGACAGUGAGGGACCGAAGCCCUG